AUGGAAUGGAGCUGGAUCUUUCUCUGCCUCCUGUCCGUAACUGCAGGUGUCUACUCACAGAUCCAGCUGCAGCAGUCUGGGGCUGAACUGGCAAGACCUGGGGCUUCAGUGAAGAUGUCCUGCAAGGCUUCUGGCUACACCUUCACCAGCUACUGGAUUCACUGGGUAAAACAAAGGCCUGGACAGGGCCUGGAAUGGAUUGGGGCUAUUUAUCCUGGAGAUGGUGAUACUAGCUACAAUCAGAAGUUCAAGGGCAAGGCCACACUGACUGCAGACAAAUCCUCCAGCACAGCCUACUUGCAGCUGAGCAGCCUGACAUCUGAGGACUCUGCAGUCUAUUACUGUGCAAGACACAGUGUUGUGACCACAUCCUGA